rnacentral:misc_RNA from 1 species
GUUUAGCCCUGAUUGAAUGGCAUGUUUGAGCUCUUUUAUUUCUGCUGAUUUUUAUCAGCAGAAAUAAAAAGCGAGUAAUAAAAGCUGGAAAUAGC